AGAAAGUAACAGAACAUGAGAAAAUGGCAUGGAACAUACAAACUGACCAAAGGGUCUACUGGGUACAAGACAAGUAAGUACAUUUAAUGGGUAAUGUGACAGAUUUCAGAAAUAAAAGGCAAGCACGUACAGUGGGGAAAGAGGUGAAAUCACAGAAUCUUCAUGAAAUGGCCCCUACCCAAGGAUUUCAAUUUGCUACAGAGGAAUUUUGGUCCUUAAUAACCCUCCUACUUAUAUUUCCUCCCUCACACCAUUAGUGAAAGAACUCACAGAAAGAAACUCUCCCCAAGUACAGGUCUACACUGGGUAAAAACAAAGACUUCUGUUUUCCUCUGAUAAAACCAUAAAGCCAAAACCCAAGCAAAAUGGCAAAAGGUAGAUGUUUUUAAUAAGUAAAAAUUAUUGUAUAAGAAAAACAGACUCCAAUA